AUUGAACGCUGGCGGUAUGCUUAACACAUGCAAGUCGAACGGCAGCAUGGUCUAGCUUGCUAGACUGAUGGCGAGUGGCGGACGGGUGAGUAACGCGUAGGAAUAUGCCUUGAAGAGUGGGACAACUUGGGGAAACGCAAGCUAAUACCGCAUGUACUCGAGAGAGUAAAGCUGGGGACCUUUAGGUAUGGCGCUUUAAGAUUAGACUGCGUCCGAUUAGCUAGUUGGUAGGGUAAAGGCCUACCAAGGCGACGAUCGGUAGCUGGUCUGGGAGGAUGAUCAGCCACACUGGAACUGAGAGACGGUCCAGACUCCUACGGGAGGCAGCAGUGGGGAAUAUUGGACAAUGGGGGGAACCCUGAUCCAGCAAUGCCGCGUGUGUGAAGAAGGCCUGAGGGUUGUAAAGCACUUUCAGUGGGGAGGAGGUUUGGAAGGUUAAGAGCUAUUCAAAUGGACGUUACCCACAGAAGAAGCACCGGCUAACUCCGUGCCAGCCGCCGCAGUAA
rnacentral:rRNA from 1 species